rnacentral:rRNA from 1 species
AACGUAGGAGACAAACGUUAUCCGGAGUUACUGGGCGUAAAGGGCGUGCAGGUGGUCUGUUAAGUCUGGCGUGAAAGCUCCUGGCUAAACCGGGAGAGGUCGUUGGAUACUGGCGGACUAGAGGACGGUAGAGGCGUGUGGAAUUCCGGGUGUAGUGGUGAAAUGCGUAGAGAUCGGGAGGAACACCAGUGGCGAAGGCGGCUUUCUGGUCUGCUCUUGACGCUGAGGCGCGAAGGCUAGGGUAGCAAACGGG